rnacentral:lncRNA from 1 species
CCUCGGCUAGAUUGAGAAAAUUAGCUCAUGUUCGAUGCGAAAACCCACAAGAAAUUGUAAAGAGAGCCGCGGCCGUUGUCCCUUGAAAUUGGGGAAAUUCAAUUCAGUUCCAAUGUUUGAAAAGAUAGCAAAGCUACAGCAAUUGAUUCUAUGGUUUCUACUUGUCCAAUCAUACGAGAAGGAAAAGGAAAAGCUACUUGAGCCCACAAGGAAAAGUCAAAAGACUAAGCUAAAAAGUUGUCUGCCAUUGUUUGCUCUAUUCCUAUCUAAUGUCCUCAAGGCUGUGC